rnacentral:lncRNA from 1 species
UCUCUUUCCCCACAGAACCCAAGAGCUGCAUCCCCAGACUCUCCGGCAGGAUUCUGGGACAGUGUCCUUUGCACUUGCAGGCUCUUGAGGGUAGCAUGCUUGUGUGCUGUGCGCAGCCCCAGGCCAAGACUCUGCUUGGAGCAGGGUCCUGAGGACUAAAACUGACUGUCCCCUAACUCACUGAGGGACCCAUGCGAACAUGACAGGCUUCUGCAUGGUGAGGAAACCCAAGGCUAGGGCU